AGCCCCCUACGGGAGGCAGCAGUGGGGAGUAUUGCACAAUGGGGGAAACCCUGAUGCAGCGACGCCGCGUGAGUGAAGAAGUAUUUCGGUAUGUAAAGCUCUAUCAGCAGGGAAGAGAAUGACGGUACCUGAGUAAGAAGCCCCGGCUAACUACGUGCCAGCAGCCGCGGUAAUACGUAGGGGGCAAGCGUUAUCCGGAUUUACUGGGUGUAAAGGGUGCGUAGGCGGUUUUAUAAGUUAGAGGGGAAAUCUCGGGGCUCAACUCCGAAAUUGCCUCUAAUACUGUAGGACUAGAGAGUAGUUGG
rnacentral:rRNA from 1 species